CCCUGCAAAUGCACUCGGGCGCCGUGGAAAAAGUGAGAAGAGGCAAAAUUGGGGCUGUGCCCAUUGCUCGCUCUUGCCUCCGGCUCCUCGAGGGGAUUCUGGUCCCAACUCACCCAGCUUUCUACUGUACUGUCCACAUCCGUGAGCGGCACCCUGAGAAGUCGGAGGAAACAGCAAGUUCCAAGUCCUGGUGUGCUUGACCUGCUCGCAGAACAUCAGGGAGGACCCGGGAUGUAGCUCAGUGGCACCACACCUACAUCUCAAGCAAAAGGUCCUGAGUUCGAUCACCGAUGGGGGCAGAGGGAGACUAGAACAGAGAGGUGGCGAGGGAGAGAACGGUAGAAAAUAAAGGACAGGUGGCCACGAGACAGAGAGAGUUUGGGCAAGUGACAUGGAGCAGAGGAGAAGCAGAAAUUUGAAAUCGGACGACCUGGCUUCAGAGAGGUGUCACAUGAGCCUGCCACUGGGCAAUGACCCAGGCCCCUUCUACUUUGUUGCUGUGCCAUCUUUAGGGUGUUGAUGGGCAUCGUGCAGGUUGGCUUACAGCCACACCAGAAUUCCAGCAUACCUUCAUUCCGGAGAUAACCAGCAAGUCAUGCUGCUCUGUUAGCGAAGCCAAGCUCAUUGCAGUUUGGGGAAGAAGGUGUGAAGAAAAUUAGAAAAGAGAAGCUCAAAGUGUAUUGGGAGACAUUCACAUGCCUGGUGGGUAGCGGUGAGAGCUGAGAAGAGGAAGGCUGAGUCUCACUGUGCAAUUCGUGAGAGCCAAAAAUACACCUGAUGAUAACCGUGACCCCCAUUGUCAGAUAGCAUCAUCUCUCAGGUACGUACUCUCAACUGAGGGAAGAGAUUACCUUCAGAAUCAUAAAAAAAAAAAAUCCAGCUGUUCCAAAGACAGAGGACUCACAUCUAAAAUAUAUAA